UCAUCGGUCACAAGUUGUACAGAGAACACAACUGUAUGUUUCCUGCCAGGUGCAGUGGGAUGGAGCAUUUCAUCCUGGAGGUGAUUGACAGGCUGCCUGACUUGGAGAUGGUGGUAAAUGUCAGGGAUUACCCACAAGUCCCCAGCUGGGUGCAGCCGACCCUGCCCGUCUUGUCUUUCAGUAAGACAGCAGACUACCAGGACAUCAUGUACCCUGCGUGGAC